rnacentral:rRNA from 1 species
AAAUUGAAGAGUUUGAUCAUGGCUCAGAUUGAACGCUGGCGGCAGGCCUAACACAUGCAAGUCGAACGGUAACAGGAAGCAGCUUGCUGCUUCGCUGACGAGUGGCGGACGGGUGAGUAAUGUCUGGGAAACUGCCUGAUGGAGGGGGAUAACUACUGGAAACGGUGGCUAAUACCGCAUAACGUCGCAAGACCAAAGAGGGGGACCUUCGGGCCUCUUGCCAUCAGAUGUGCCCAGAUGGGAUUAGCUUGUUGGUGAGGUAAUGGCUCACCAAGGCGACGAUCCCUAGCUGGUCUGAGAGGAUGACCAGCCACACUGGAACUGAGACACGGUCCAGACUCCUACGGGAGGCAGCAGUGGGGAAUAUUGCACAAUGGGCGCAAGCCUGAUGCAGCCAUGCCGCGUGUAUGAAGAAGGCCUUCGGGUUGUAAAGUACUUUCAGCGGGGAGGAAGGUGUUGUGGUUAAUAACC